AACCAUUAUGAUGUUUUUGUACGUAAAUAUUGAAUAAAAAGUCUGUUCUUAUCAGCUUAAUAUCUGAUACGGAUCCUAUUUGGAUCCAAGAUAUUAAACUUAUUUUUGUGAUGCGGCGGAGUGCUUGAAGCUUGCUUCACCUCCGCCACGGGUUGGCCCGGUAUUGCACUACCUCCGGGAUCGGCCCACUCACC